CUGAUGUUAUUCAUUCACGUGAAGAUGGCAUCUAAAGAGCGCACCUACAUAGGGAUGGUUUAUUUCAUUGGGAUUUUAGGGGCCACAGCGGCGCAUGAACUGAUCGCUUAUGAGAAUGCUACAACAGGCACCAUAGGUCAGUCUGUGCUCUUACAGGCUCGCCCAUCAGUAAGAUGCACACCUGGAAAAUCGUUGUCGUUUCCUGCACAUUCCUUUGCUUCUGCGUUGUCUUUGUGUUGGUUUUUCUCAUUAUCCACUGCGAAUGUCAGCACUGAUUUAUCUCCUGAUCUAAGGUGGCCAUACACGGGCAGCACCACCAAUCAGAUCUGAUAGAAAGCCAAGAGAAGCUGCAAUUUGUCUUGUAGACUGUAUUAUACACCGCUCUUUCCCAAUCACUAAUGUUCCUGGUUGGCUGCAGCAGCCCAUGUUUCCUGCUGUAAGUAAUAAAAAUGAAUAUAGAUUGUGC